AUUGAACGCUGGCGGCAUGCUUUACACAUGCAAGUCGAACGGCAGCACGGGGGCAGCCCUGGUGGCGAGUGGCGAACGGGUGAGUAAUACAUCGGAACGUGCCCGGUCGUGGGGGAUAACGUAGCGAAAGUAACGCUAAUACCGCAUACGAUCUGAGGAUGAAAGCGGGGGACCUUCGGGCCUCGCGCGAUCGGAGCUGCCGAUGUCAGAUUAGGUAGUUGGUGGGGUAAAGGCCUACCAAGCCGACGAUCUGUAGCUGGUCUGAGAGGCCGACCAGCCACACUGGGACUGAGACACGGCCCAGACUCCUACGGGAGGCAGCAGUGGGGAAUUUUGGACAAAGGGCGCAAGCCUGAUCCAGCCAUUCCGCGUGCAGGACGAAGGCCUUCGGGUUGUAAACUGCUGUUGUACGGAACGAAAAGACUCUGGCUAAUACCUGGGGCUCAUGACGGUACCGUAAGAAUAAGCACCGGCUAACUACGUG
rnacentral:rRNA from 1 species